CUGUACAGUUCAGAGUUUGAUCCUGGCUCAGGACGAACGCUGGUGGCGUGCUUAACACAUGCAAGUCGAACGGUGAAGCUCGGCUUGCUGGGUGGAUCAGUGGCGAACGGGUGAGUAACACGUGAGCAACCUGCCCCCUACUUCGGGAUAAGCCUUGGAAACGAGGUCUAAUACCGGAUAUGAACAUUUGUCGCAUGGCGGGUGUUGGAAAGUUUUUCGGUGGGGGAUGGGCUCGCGGCCUAUCAGCUUGUUGGUGGGGUAAUGGCCUACCAAGGCGUCGACGGGUAGCCGGCCUGAGAGGGCGACCGGCCACACUGGGACUGAGACACGGCCCAG
rnacentral:rRNA from 1 species